rnacentral:rRNA from 1 species
GACGAACGCUGGCGGCGUGCUUAACACAUGCAAGUCGAACGGAAAGGCCCUGCUUUUGUGGGGUGCUCGAGUGGCAAACGGGUGAGUAACACGUGAGUAACCUGCCCUUGACUUUGGGAUAACUUCAGGAAACUGGGGCUAAUACCGGAUAGGAGCUCCUGCUGCAUGGUGGGGGUUGGAAAGUUUCGGCGGUUGGGGAUGGACUCGCGGCUUAUCAGCUUGUUGGUGGGGUAGUGGCUUACCAAGGCUUUGACGGGUAGCCGGCCUGAGAGGGUGACCGGCCACAUUGGGACUGAGAUACGGCCCAGACUCCUACGGGAGGCAGCAGUGGGGAAUAUUGCACAAUGGGCGGAAGCCUGAUGCAGCAACGCCGCGUGCGGGAUGACGGCCUUCGGGUUGUAAACCGCUUUCGCCUGUGACGAAGCGUGAGUGACGGUAAUGGGUAAAGAAGCACCGGCUAACUAUGUG